rnacentral:rRNA from 2 species
AGAGUUUGAUCCUGGCUCAGGACGAACGCUGGCGGCGUGCCUAAUACAUGCAAGUCGAACGCGUUUCCGUUAUUGAUUUUAGGUGCUUGCAUUUDAAUGAUUUAACAYGAAACGAGUGGCGAACUGGUGAGUAACACGUGGGUAACCUGCCCUUGAAGUAGGGGAUAACACUUGGAAACAGGUGCUAAUACCGUAUAACAACCAAAACCACAUGGUUUUGGUUUAAAAGAUGGCUUCGGCUAUCACUUUAGGAUGGACCCGCGGCGUAUUAGCUUGUUGGUAAGGUWAAYGGCCUACCAAGGCAAUGAUACGUAGCCGACCUGAGAGGGUAAUCGGCCACAUUGGGACUGAGACACGGCCCAAACUCCUACGGGAGGCAGCAGUAGGGAAUCUUCCACAAUGGA